CUGGCGGCGUGCCUAAUACAUGCAAGUCGAGCGGACAGAUGGGAGCUUGCUCCCUGAUGUUAGCGGCGGACGGGUGAGUAACACGUGGGUAACCUGCCUGUAAGACUGGGAUAACUCCGGGAAACCGGGGCUAAUACCGGAUGCUUGUUUGAACCGCAUGGUUCAAACAUAAAAGGUGGCUUCGGCUACCACUUACAGAUGGACCCGCGGCGCAUUAGCUAGUUGGUGAGGUAAUGGCUCACCAAGGCAACGAUGCGUAGCCGACCUGAGAGGGUGAUCGGCCACACUGGGACUGAGACACGGCCCAGACUCCUACGGGAGGCAGCAGUAGGGAAUCUUCCGCAAUGGACGAAAGUCUGACGGAGCAACGCCGCGUGAGUGAUGAAGGUUUUCGGAUCGUAAAGCUCUGUUGUUAGGGAAGAACAAGUGCCGUUCAAAUAGGGCGGCACCUUGACGGUACCUAACCAGAAAGCCACGGCUAACUACGUGCCAGCAGCCGCGGUAAUACGUAGGUGGCAAGCGUUGUCCGGAAUUAUUGGGCGUAAAGGGCUCGCAGGCGGUUUCUUAAGUCUGAUGUGAAAGCCCCCGGCUCAACCGGGGAGGGUCAUUGGAAACUGGGGAACUUGAGUGCAGAAGAGGAGAGUGGAAUUCCACGUGUAGCGGUGAAAUGCGUAGAGAUGUGGAGGAACACCAGUGGCGAAGGCGACUCUCUGGUCUGUAACUGACGCUGAGGAGCGAAAGCGUGGGGAGCGAACAGGAUUAGAUACCCUGGUAGUCCACGCCGUAAACGAUGAGUGCUAAGUGUUAUGGGGGUUUCCGCCCCCUUAGUGCUGCAGCUAACGCAUUAAGCACUCCGCCCUGGGGGAGUACGGUCGCAAGACUGAAAACUCAAAAGGAAUUGACGGGGGCCCGCACAAGCGGUGGGAGCAUGUUGGAUUUUAAUUCGAAGCAACGCGAAG
rnacentral:rRNA from 1 species